rnacentral:lncRNA from 1 species
GUUAAACACAUUCAUUGUGGUGCAUCUUGAAAACUUUGAACUUUUAUAUGGUGGUUUAAUUCCAACUUCCUAACUUUCAUUUCACAAAAGAAGUCUAUGAGGAAUAUUCAAGUGCAAGGUAAGAAGACAUUAACAAGCUUAAUAGAAUCUAAUCAGGAAUGAGACAUACUGUCUUAGUAACGUGACUUUCCCAAGCAUUGUGAUGCAGUGGCGGGUUUCUAACUUGUUGAUCAUUAAUUAUUGGAAUUAGCUUCUGAUGAGAACAUAUUUGAACCCCUGUAGUUUUUAAAUUUUUGACAUUUUAAGCGAUGAACUAUGCUAUAAUUUCUCAGUACAUUUUUUUACAGAAUAUGCAAGGAAAGUCUUGGGAUAAGCACAUUGAAGCUUAAGGAUUUCAAGACACUAAAGACAAAAUAUGCAUAUUAGACAUA